AGGGAGAGGGGGUGGGGAAGAGCGCUAGCAGCGGCAGCGAGCGGUCCGUCUCGCACGCGCGGGCACCGCGCUGGUCCUGGGCUGCAGGUUUUCCCAGAUGAUGGCAUCCGAGAACUUAAACAAAGAAGGCCGCCGCCGGCGCGCGGCGGCUGCAGAAAGUUGCGGUGGCGGAUUUCCAAGGAGCGUGGCCACGACCCGAGCUCUUGGUGAGGCGAGCCCCCCCUUCCCACCCCCGCCGAGACGAGGAUGGGGGCCGGCUGGUGAAGGGAAGAGGAAACUUUGAAACCACUGGGGACACAUCUGUCUAUAGGUAUUAUCUUGAAUGGUACAUCCAUGCCGCGCGCUU
rnacentral:lncRNA from 1 species